AUUGAACGCUGGCGGAAUGCUUUACACAUGCAAGUCGAACGGCAGCAUGGGUGCUUGCACCUGAUGGCGAGUGGCGAACGGGUGAGUAAUAUAUCGGGAGGUGCCCAGUCGGGGGGGAUAACGUAGCGAAAGCUACGCUCAUAGCGCAUACGAUCUAUGGAUGAAAGCGGGGGACCUUCGGGCCCCGCGCGAUUGGAGCGGCCGAUAUCAGAUUAGGUAGUUGGUGGGGUAAAGGCUCACCAAGCCGACGAUCUGUAGCUGGUCUGAGAGGACGACCAGCCACACUGGGACUGAGACACGGCCCAGACUCCUACGGGAGGCAGCAGUGGGGAAUUUUGGACAAUGGACGCAAGUCUGAUCCAGCCAUUCCGCGUGAAGGACGAAGGCCUUCGGGUUGUAAACUGCUUUUGUACAGAACGAAAAGGUUUCUAUUAAUACUAGGGGCUCAUGACGGUACUGUAAGAAUAAGCACCGGCUAACUACGUGCCAGCAGCCGCGGUAA
rnacentral:rRNA from 1 species